CGGUGAGUGGGUGUGUCUGUAGAUCUUUAGUCGAUUAGGGUUUCAUGUUGUUGCUGUUGUUGUUGUUAACGACACUUGCUGCCCUGCAAUGGUAAGGUAAGCGCUGACUAAUUCAUUCUCAAUUUGUUCCCUGGUUUAUUUUUAUGUUUUGAUGGUUGUUUGUUAUCAUUUGCAUGUAUAAUUGUUUCUCUUUCCUUCCAUCAUAUUUUGCCAGUGUCUCCUAUUUGUCCCAACGAUUAUGAUUAUUAUAAUUAUUAUGAUUAUUAUUGUUGCUGCGCUUACUUGUAUAUUAUUCAACUUAUUGCUACUGUUUUAUAAUAUAUAAACAAACAACACCCUUUCGUUCCUGAGAGACACACCUGUAAAGAAUAGAAAAAGAGUAAAAAAAAAACACACAAACUUUAAAAAAUGCACAAAAAUUACACUGUCAAUGUUACACCGUAUAAAAAUGGAACUAUAUGUUAUUUACACUUAUUUGUAAACACACUAUUUCUAUUUUGACUUCUUUCCUGGCUUAAUAAUGUUUGGUAAAGUCUGUACUGAGAUUGAAGGGGUGUGACUAACCCAAAUCUUUAGAAAACAAUUUUGUACCAGUCACUCAGCCCAGUUAUUUAAAAACUAAUAGCUCCCCGCUAGAACUCUUAAUAAGCAGAUAGUGUAGAGUUUAAUGCAUUUUAAAAGCUCUUUUAGAACGAACACUGACAGUUCUGGGUCAGUGCCAUCCCAUGGAUAAUAUAUUCUUUCCCAAAGAAAAGCUUGUACAAGGGCUUGUCUAACCACAAAGUGUUCAGGCUGAGCUGUUUUCAAUGAAAGUCACCUGAGCGAACACAGCCACAACUGGGAAAAUAAACACCUGGUAUAAAGUGAUUUACAUAGACAAGCAAACAGUCUAGAGUUUGUGAUUUUUAGAUAUUUUAUGUAGGUGCGAACCUGGUAGGCGUGCAUAGACAGGUAGCAGAAGGUAGAUGCAAGAUCAUAGCGCAUGAGGCCGAUAAGCUCGUGUCGUUGUGCGGAGAGAAAUAGUUUCAUCGACAUAUAGGUUGAGCAGCUUCGUCACGAGGGUCCUGGCACCCAUGCACGGUGUCGGGUGGAUUGUUUCAAAGGUAUCAUGUUCUACCCUGUUGACAUUUAGUGCCUGAUACCCGACAGAGAACACCUGUAUGACAAAUCAAGCGGUUAAAGCGAUUUCUGAACCAAGGACCUGGUGAUACGAAGAGUAUUCGUUGACAAGAAUUUUUUUCAGCCCUCCACAACUAGUCACCCUUCGCAGCUGUAUUCAUUCAUCUGUCCUUGCGUUUGAGAGACCCGUGGUAAAAGUUCUCGAACAUUCAAACCUCCAGUACCUAGCGACCUGGAAUUGUUCCAAGUCUGCACCCGACAGGCUUUACAAAUGGGGGAUUGUGAUUCAAGUGCCUCCGGUCGAGUUUGCAGAAGAGUGCACACGGUUGUUUGUACAGCAGACGUCAACUUAGCACUGGACAGGCAAAGGAGAGAAGGAAGGAAUGAAUGUGUGUAGCUUAUCUCUUUAUCUGUCGAACUUAUUUAUUCUAGAUAGUUUUCUGAAGCACUUUAGAGAGUGAAAUUGAAUUUUCCAGGGUGAGUAUUCAAAUGGAACGAUAUUUAUUAGAAUCAUUUUUGUUAUGCACGUUAGCUUAUAUAUGAAAAUAUUAGUUUUAAUGUUACGUAUAUAUACUCCUGUAAAUUAUUUUUAUCCAACAUUUAUUACAAAAGAUUUUGUUGUAGCAUUCAGUUUAAAGUGAUAAUGAAAAUUAACGGACAAUUUCAAGGUGCAUACACAUGUGUUUCUGGCUUACGAGUACGUGUCCUAACAUUUUUGUGCAUGUUUUCAACCGUUUGUAUUUUAAGGAAGUCUCCUAGAUCGUCUUUGAAAAAAAAAUGUUUUAAAUUUUACGAUGAUCUGAUUCUGGCCGCCAUAACCUAGCUGGAACACUGAAUAACCUAUGAACUCUUCCUGAGGGGCAGGCGUGCACACGAGGGCAACGGUACAAACAGAAGAUCUGUUAUUGUCGUGGACCACCAGAGCUUGUGACAGUGUUGGCGGCCAUACCCACAAUGGCCACCAUGGGAAGUUGUGCAAUGGAAGUCAGCAAUUCUAUGGCUAUAAAUAGAAUGACUUAAUAUUAUGUCAGCAUUUCAUAUUUAAAUAUUUAAAAAAAUUAAUCAUGACUUAUUUCUAGUCUGACAUAGCUUCAUCUGUGCACGUGUACGUCUUAAAGUCAACACGUUUGUUCGCUCACGCGUUUUUGAGUUCGUUCGUCUGUUUGUUGUCUGUUAUUGUGUCGAUGAUUCCGUCCAUGAACUGUUUUUGCGUUAGUAGGUCUGUCUGUAAGGAUGUCUGUCUGUGACUUAAUUAAUUUCAGUAGACCUGUAGACGACUUUGUCUUCUCUUGAGUUUGUCCAUGCUUUCCUUGUUGCGUCACUGCGUCUUUGUGGUGUCUUUUGUCAGGAGAUACGUUCGUCCGUGUUUCAAAGUCACUACGUCCAAACAUGAGUACGUCUUCGUGUAAAUACGUUUGGUUAUAAGCACGAAAGUACGUUUGUUAUCGAGUGCGCUUCUUUCUCUUUUAGUACGUCUUUACGUCACUGCGUUUGUCAACAAGUACGUCUGUACGUCAGAGUGUUUGUCAACGAGUACGUCUGUACGUCAGAGCGUUUGUCAACGAGUACGUCUUUACGUCAGAGCGUUUGUCAACGAGUACGUCUUUACGUCAAAGCGUUUGUCAACGAGUACGUCUUUACGUCAGAGCGUUUGUCAACGAGUACGUCUGUAUGUCAAAGCGUUUGUCAACGAGUACGUCUUUACGUCAAAGCGUUUGUCAGCUGGUACACCCUAACGUAAGAUCAUUUGUCAAUAAGUGUUUUAUCGUUUCAGCACGUCUGUCUUUGAGUAUGUCCGCACAUCAUGUCUUUGCCUUUUCACGUAAAAAUGCGACCUCUCAACAAGUCUCGUAAACGUUAGUUCGUCUGUACGUAUGUCAGUAAUUCUUUGUUCAUGCACGACUUCUGUUUGUUACCUUGACACUAUCGUCUGUUUGUGCAGUACUUUGACAUCACGUGACUACGUUUGUCUAUGACUUUGUUUUGGUAUCAGUGCCUUUUGCAAUGAGUUCGUCUUAGCUUCUGUGUGUCUGUACGUCCUUUGGUAAUUAUGUUUGUACAAGUUCUCGUCAAGCCUCUCUGUACAAGGCACACAGAUGGUUGGUAAAAAUAAUCCUUCUAGCUGCAGAACGACGGAAGGAAAGAGUUGCUUCUAGGAAGUUCCAAACCUAAUCAUAUCUUCACAUUCUCCUCAGAACAAGUUGCUAUCAUUGGGGGAAUUGUCGGUGGUGUUGCUGUCAUUGGUAUCGUCGGCAUAGUUGUAACCGUCGUUAUGCUCAAACCUUCGAAAGUAGGUGCCAUGCCCGUUACAUCAAGUUCGACAUAGGGACUGGGUGAUGCUGAGAACACAGCAACGACACAACAGACGAUGAAAUGAGAAAAGUUUGAUUUCUUCACACAGUCUGUCUUCUGAAAGAUUUUUGAUA